AACGAGUGAGUAAUGCUUAUCUAACUUGCCAAUUAGUGGGGGACAACUAUGGGAAACCAUAGCUAAUACCGCAUUUGUUACUUCGGUAAUGAAAGAGAGUCGCAAGAUUCUCGCUAAUUGAUAGGGAUAAGUCGUAUUAGUUAGUUGGUGGGGUAAUGGCCUACCAAGACAAUGAUGCGUAGCCAGUCUGAGAGGAUGAAUGGCCACAAGGGAACUGAGACACGGUCCCUACUCCUACGGGAGGCAGCAGUGAGGAAUUUUCGGCAAUGGGGGCAACCCUGACCGAGCAAUACUACGUGAAGGAGGAAGGUCUACGGAUUGUAAACUUCUGUUAGCAGGGAAGAAGGGCUGGAUGUGAGUUCAGUUUUGACGGUACCUGCAGAGAAAGCCACGACUAACUACGUGCCAGCAGUCGCGGUAAGACGUAGGUGGCGAACGUUAUCCGGAAUUAUUGGGCGUAAAGGGUGCGUAGAUGGUCUAAUAAGUUAUCAGCGGUAAAUCGGGGCUCAACCCCGUGGAAGUCGGUAAUACUGUUAUACUCGAGUGCAGAAGAGGUUAACGGAACUCCAUGUGGAGCGGUAAAAUGCGUAGAUAUAUGGAAGAACACCAAUAACGGCGAAGGCAGUUAACUAUUCUGUUACUGACAUUGAGGCACGAAAGCGUGGGGAGCAAAACGGAUUAGAUACCCGUGUAGUCCACGCCCUAAACGAUGAGUGCUAGAUAUUGGGAACUCGAUUCUCAGUGUCGCUAGAUAACUCGGUAAGCACUCCGCCUGGGUAGUACGCUCGCAAGAGUGAAACUCAAAGGAGUUGAUGGGGACUCGCACAAGCAGUGGAGCAUGUGGUUUAAUCCGAUACAACGCGUAGAACCUUACCAAGGCUUGACAUGUAAGGUAGCAAUACUAAACUAGGGAAACCUAGUUGAAUUACACAGGUGCUGCAUGGCCGUCGUCAGUUCGUGCCGUGAGGUGUAUGGUUAAGUCCUGUAACGAACGCAACCCUUGGGCUUAGUUGCCAGCAUUAAGUUGGGGACUCUAAGCCGACUGCCCGAGUAAUCGGGAGGAAGGAAAGGACGACAUCUGUCGUC
rnacentral:rRNA from 1 species